rnacentral:rRNA from 1 species
GAUGAACGCUGGCGGCGUGCCUAACACAUGCAAGUCGAGCGAACAGAUGAGGCGCUUGCUCCGCUGACGUUAGCGGCGGACGGGUGAGUAACACGUGGAUAACCUACCUAUAAGACUGGGAUAACUUCGGGAAACCGGAGCUAAUACCGGAUAAUAUAUUGAACCGCAUGGUUCAAUAGUGAAAGACGGUUGUGCUGUCACUUAUAGAUGGAUCCGGGCGGCAUUAGCUAGUUGGUACGGUAACGGCUUACCAAGGCAACGAUGCGUAGCCGACCUGAGAGGGUGAUCGGCCACACUGGAGCUGGGACACGGUCCAGACUCCUACGGGAGGCAGCAGUAGGGAAUCUUCCGCAAUGGGCGAAAGCCUGACGGAGCAACGCCGCGUGUGUGCUGAAGGUCUUCGGAUCGUAAAGCUCUGUUAUUAGGGAAGAACCAAUGUGUACGGAACUAUGCCCGUCUUGACGGUACCUAAUCAAAAAGCCCCGGCUAACUACGUG